rnacentral:rRNA from 1 species
GAUGAACGCUGGCUGCGUGCUUAACACAUGCAAGUCGAUCGGGAAGGCCUUGCUUUUCUGGGGUGCUCGAGUGGCUCACGUGUGAGUAACACGUGAGUAUCCUGCCCUUGCCCUUGGUAUAACUUCAGGAAACUUGGCCUAAUACCGGAUAGUAGCUCCUUCUGCAUGGUUGGGGUUGAAAAGUUUCGGCGGUUGCGGAUGGACUCGCGGGUUAUCAGAUUGUUGGUGGGGUAGUGGCUUACCAAGGCUUUGACGGGUAGCCGGCCUGAGAGGGUGACCGGGCACACUGGGAGAGAGAGACGGGCCAGACACGUAAGGGAGAGGGAAGAGGGGAAUAUUGUACAAAAGGCGGAAGACUCAGGCAGAAACACUGCGUGAGGGAUGAGAGCCUUCGGGGAGUAAACCGCUUUCGCAGGUGAGGAGGAGUGAGUGACGGUACCGGGUAAAGAAGCAACGGCUAAAUACGUG